ACACACACACACACACACACACACACACACACACACACACACACACACACACACACACACACACACACACACACCAAUAAGACAUCAUACAUACAAGUGUAAUCCAAAACGUAAAAUAAGUUACAAGCACAAUGUCUCUCAGUAGACAGGUACAGUAUAUCUAACAGGUGUUCUCUCUCAGUAGACAGGUACAGUAUAUCUAACAGGUGUUCUCUCUCAGUAGACAGGUACAGUAUAUCUAACAGGUGUUCUCUCUCAGUAGACAGGUACAGUAUAUCUAACAGGUGUUCUCUCUCAGUAGACAGGUACAGUAUAUCUAACAGGUGUUCUCUCUCAGUAGACAGGUACAGUAUAUCUAACAGGUGGUCUCUCUCAGUAGACAGGUACAGUAUAUCUAACAGGUGGUCUCUCUCAGUAGACAGGUACAGUAUAUCUAACAGGUGGUCUCUCUCAGUAGACAGGUACAGUAUAUCUAACAUGUGGUCUCUCUCAGUAGACAGGUAUAGUAUAUCUAACAGGUGUUCUCUCUCAGUAGACAGGUACAGUAUAUCUAACAGGUGGUCUCUCUCAGUAGACAGGUACAGUAUAUCUAACAGGUGGUCUCUCUCAGUAGACAGGUACAGUAUAUCUAACAGGUGGUCUCUCUCAGUAGACAGGUACAGUAUAUCUAACAGGUGGUCUCUCUCAGUAGACAGGUACAGUAUAUCUAACAGGUGGUCUCUCUCAGUAGACAGGUACAGUAUAUCUAACAGGUGUUCUCUCUCAGUAGACAGGUACAGUAUAUCUAACAGGUGUUCUCUCUCAGUAGACAGGUACAGUAUAUCUAACAGGUGUUCUCUCUCAGUAGACAGGUACAGUAUAUCUAACAGGUGUUCUCUCUCAGUAGACAGGUACAGUAUAUCUAACAGGUGGUCUCUCUCAGUAGACAGGUACAGUAUAUCUAACAGGUGUUCUCUCUCAGUAGACAGGUACAGUAUAUCUAACAGGUGGUCUCUCUCAGUAGACAGGUACAGUAUAUCUAACAGGUGGUCUCUCUCAGUAGACAGGUACAGUAUAUCUAACAGGUGUUCUCUCUCAGUAGACAGGUACAGUAUAUCUAACAGGUGUUCUCUCUCAGUAGACAGGUACAGUAUAUCUAACAGGUGUUCUCUCUCAGUAGACAGGUACAGUAUAUCUAACAGGUGUUCUCUCUCAGUAGACAGGUACAGUAUAUCUAACAGGUGUUCUCUCUCAGUAGACAGGUACAGUAUAUCUAACAGGUGGUCUCUCUCAGUAGACCAGUACAGUAU